GAGAAAGGCUCAGGGCCACACUGGGAUCCCAAACACCCAGUGUAGUUGCUGGCCAACUAAUAAUGAUUUCUAUUGGCUUAAGCCUGUGUCCUGGGUCCUCUGUAAGAGCAUUACACACUCUUAACCCCUGGGCUAUCUCUCCAGCCCCCACCUCUUCGUUACUUUUAUUGACUUUAGCUCUAAUACCAAUGUAGGAUUGAACGGGAUGGUGGAAGGUACAUCUGUUGGCUGGAAAUUACCUCUCUGCAGCAUGAAUGACCAGGACAAGCUCAUGGGGAACACUCACCCAAGCAUCCAGCAAGGCACCAUCCUGCUCUUGCUUCUUGCCGCCUGUAAGCAGCUAACCAUACCGAGCCACAGGCAAGAGCUUGACAGAGUUUUGGGAGGACUGGCACUGACGUUGCGUCUGAAGGAACCUUCAAAGUCUGGCAUCUGAACAUUGUACUAUAGUGCAUCUACAUUCAAGCAUGUCUGUGUUCCCUCCUUCCUCCCCUCCUUUUUCUCUCCCUCCAUCCCUCCUUAGUGAUGGAGAUCCAACCCAAGGCCCUGCACAUGUUAAGCAUACACCACUGGCUAUACCCCCCAAAUCCUUUUUUUUAUUUUCUGAGAUGUGGAGGGCAUCUGGGAAUAGAACCCAAGCCUUAUGCGUGUUAGGUGAGUACCCCACCACUGAGCUAUGAUCUCAGCAGCCCUCAGAUGUUUUAUUAAGAUACAUCAAGGAACUGAUUCUGAGUAACAAAGGCUAGUUCAGACUUUGAGUAAAUCUUCAUUGAUCAACUACUAGAGGUUCAUGGAUAUUCUAGAUUGCUCUGUAAAGAAGGAAGGUGGAAAGGAAAGAACAAAAAAGAAGGAAGGGAUGGAGGGACUGAGGGAUGCAGGAGUAGCAGGACCUAGACUAUAGCAUGUCAGGACUCACUCAUUAUCUAGCAUAUGCUAUCAUCUUCCACUUGAUAUCUAGCUUUCCAAGUUAGGUGCUUGGCUGCCUUGGCUCAGGUCCUGUGGCCCUACUUCUGCUGGUAGGGAAUUCAGUACCCAGCAAACGUCCUGGAGCAGCGUGGGUCAGAGCAGGAGAGAGAAAUCAGGAGCUAGUCUGAAAAAGAAAAGCUUAAUAUAAGGAAUUAUUAAUCAGCAGUCUAUUGUUUAUAAAAGUGAGAGGACACAGAAG
rnacentral:lncRNA from 1 species